GUAGGUGGCAAGCGUUGUCCGGAAUUAUUGGGCGUAAAGCGCGCGCAGGUGGUUUCUUAAGUCUGAUGUGAAAGCCCACGGCUCAACCGUGGAGGGUCAUUGGAAACUGGGGAACUUGAGUGCAGAAGAGGAAAGUGGAAUUCCAAGUGUAGCGGUGAAAUGCGUAGAGAUUUGGAGGAACACCAGUGGCGAAGGCGACUUUCUGGUCUGUAACUGACACUGAGGCGCGAAAGCGUGGGGAGCAAACAGGGAUUAGAUACCCUGGUAGUCCACGCCGUAAACGAUGAGUGCUAAGUGUUAGAGGGUUUCCGCCCCUUUAGUGCUGCAGCUAACGCAUUAAGCACUCCGCCUGGGGAGUACGGUCGCAAGACUG
rnacentral:rRNA from 1 species